ACGGCCAUACCAUGCUGAAUAUACCGGUUCUCGUUAGAUCACCGAAGUCAAGCAUCAUUGGGCGCGGUCAGUACUUGGGUGGGUGACCACCUGGGAACACCGCGUACCGU
rnacentral:rRNA from 1 species